CUAGCAGAGCAGAAGUACAGAGCAUCGACAGUACAGACUGAAUUUAAGGCAAAACUCUCUCACAGUAGAUCAUCAUGGCACAAGAGUAUGAGCUCUCUGACUUCACCAAUGUACAUGAGCUUCAGGGAUCUGAAACAAACAGUGGUAACACUCAACCAGCAGAGAGAGGACUCCUCAGAAUCGGGAUUGUAACUUUAGCAGUGUUGUGUGUCAUACAGGCCACUCUUAAUAUCUCGCUGCGCCUUGCCUUGUAUUCAAAAGAAGAUGCAGAACAGCUUCCUUUCAAUCCCUCCAUGAUAGCAGAACUGUGCCAGACUGAUCAGUUUCAAGAGAACACAAUCCAGGCAUGUUCCUGCUGCAACAACUUGCUGAGGAGUAUAGUGAGGGAAUAUAACGUCUUGAAAACACAGAGAGACCUCUUGGUCAGUCAACUGAAUGAAAACAGGCUUGAGGAGGGCGGCUUCUCAAGCUCUGGGUCAGGCUCACUGGAGGAACUCCUCGAGACAGGUUGGAGUUCAGUGGAGACCUUUUGAACAUCUGAUCAGCUAAACGGAUAUUAUGUUCAACACCUACCAUAUUUUGAUGAAAUAUAUACAGUAUAUAUUUACAAUGUCAUGUAGAGCUGAAAAAUUGCAGAUCAGCUAAACCUUUUAUCUUAAUUUAUUUUAGUUUUCACAGUUUCACAAUCUGUAUAUGUUCACAUUAGAAAUCAGUGUUUUCUGAUGCUGUUCGGUGGAGACAGGAGAUCUUGGAGGGGCUGUGAGCUGAGCUGCAGAUAACGUUUGCUCAGCUUGCUUAUGUGAUAAUUUAAGAUCCAGACGUCUGGUGACUAAAACCCUUCAUCUGAUUAAAAUAUAAUCUUCAAAAACAACCAAGAAAUGUAACGUCAAAUAAAAUAAAACAAAACCUCAUUCUUAACCAUUUUUAGCAGCCAGAGGGAAGGUUGAGAGGGUAAAGGAAGACCCCAGGACAUGCAAACUCUCAAGGCAAACACUGACCUAUAAUUCGCCGACCCCAAAUAUGGCCUAUCAUUUGAAACAUGUAAGCAUUAGCAUGGCCAAUUGCUCUAGCUUUGUCCUUACUGGUUGUUCCAACACAUAUAGAAUCAUUACCGCGUUUACCGGUGUUGCUGACACGCAGCUUGCAUCGUUCAUGAACUUUAUUUAAACUCAUAGAGGCUCAGUAUUACGGUUUGGCAAUUUUCUGUAACGCAGCAGAGUUAGCAAUGUUACUUACAACAUUAUUUCUCAGCCCUGGACUCCUGGAUUCCUGAUGCCCCCCAAAAAUAUAUUUAAAUAAAUUAAAUCAUUAUCAUAAAUGUAUGACAAAUAGUUAACUAAUGGCUUGAACUAAUGACUUCCAGUCAACGAGGAAACUCUUUGGUCAGGGGCAGCCUUAAUGGGCACAAACAUAUAAAUACAAAGUAUGUGAAUAUCUGAAAAUGAAUGUUUACAUCUGUGUGCAGGCCUGUAUAAUUGUUUUUUAUGUUUGGUAUGUUGGUUGCUCUUACUUAAGACUCCAUCAAGGAGACAAACAUUUUGAUCAUAUAAAAACAAAAAGCGGAUAAAAUAACUAAAGUAUGAUUGUUGUAUGAUUAAUGUUAUGUAACUUAUGCAUAACAUUAAUCAUACAACAAUCAUGGUGUUUUCUGCACCUAAAUAAUUGUCCGUGCGAUGCAGCUACCAAACCUCAAACCACACUUUGUACUAUUCAGGCGCAGACACAAGCAAAAGAGGAACUGAAUAAAUCAUUUUUACUUCAUGUAGAAAAUUAUUGCGUGUAUUGAGUUUACAGAAUGUGACAUAUUUAAAAAUGGAUAUUUUUACAAUA